rnacentral:tRNA from 1 species
GCGUUUGUAGUGCAAUGGUUAGCAUGGAUGCCUUCCAAGCAUCCGACGGGGGUUUGAUUCCCCCCAAACGCA